GCGAGUGAAGAGGGAAAAGCUCAAAGUUGGAACCUGGUAGGCAUAGCUUACCCGGAUUGUAAACUAAAGUUUUCGAGUCGUUUAGUCAGCCAGGUAAAUAAGUCCUCUGGAAAGGGGCGACAUAGAGGGUGAAAUCCCCGUCUUUGGCCUGAGUUUUGAUUAGGCGUUUGGCUUGGAAACGAAGAGUCAGGUUGUUUGGGAAUGCAGCCUAAAAUGGGAGGUAAAUCUCUCCUAAAGCUAAAUAUUGACGAAAGACCGAUAGCGAACAAGUACCGUGAGGGAAAGAUGAAAAGCACUUUGAAAAGAGGGUCAAAAAGUACGUGAAAUUGCUGAAAGGGAACCGUAUGAAAUCAGAUCUACUGGUAGGUAAUCAAUCUUUCCUUUGGGAAGGAUGCACUUGCCUACUAUGUAUGCCAGCGACAUUUUGGUUGGGAGGAAAAAAAUAAAGGAAAUGUAGCUUAGGUUUCGGCUUAGGUGUUAUAGUCCUUUAUAAAAUACUCUCGGCUGGAAUGAGGAACGCAGCAAACCGUAAGGCGAAGAUUUCAGGCGCUUAGAGGGAAUAAUUAGAGAAUUUCUGCUUCGGGUGGUGCUUUGAUUAUUACCUUUAACACGCUUGGAGUUCUUUUAAUU
rnacentral:rRNA from 1 species